rnacentral:rRNA from 1 species
GACGAACGCUGGCGGCGUGCUUAACACAUGCAAGUCGAACGGAAAGGCCCUGCUUUUGUGGGGUGCUCGAGUGGCGAACGGGUGAGUAACACGUGAGUAACCUGUCCUUGACUUUGGGAUAACUUCAGGAAACUGGGGCUAAUACCGGAUAGGAGCUCCUGCUGCAUGGUGGGGGUUGGAAAGUUUCGGCGGUUGGGGAUGGACUCGCGGCUUAUCAGCUUGUUGGUGGGGUAGUGGCUUACCAAGGCUUUGACGGGUAGCCGGCCUGAGAGGGUGACCGGCCACAUUGGGACUGAGAUACGGCCCAGACUCUUACGGGAGGCAGCAGUGGGGAAUAUUGCACAAUGGGCGGAAGCCUGAUGCAGCAACGCCGCGUGCGGGAUGACGGCCUUCGGGUUGUAAACCGCUUUCGCCUGUGACGAAGCGUGAGUGACGGUAAUGGGUAAAGAAGCACCGGCUAACUACGUG